rnacentral:rRNA from 1 species
GCAGUCGAACGAGAUUGCACCGACGGAACCUUCGGGGGAAGAUGGUGCAUGAAAGUGGCGGAUGGGUGAGUAACGCGUAAGAAACCUGCCUUUCACACCGGGAUAGCAGCUGGAAACGGCUAUUAAUACCGGAUGAUACUUUUCUGACGCAUGUUAGGAAGGUCAAAGAAUUUCGGUGAAAGAUGGUCUUGCGUCUGAUUAGCUCGUUGGUGGGGUAACGGCCUACCAAGGCGACGAUCAGUAGCCGGCCUGAGAGGGUGUACGGCCACAUUGGGACUGAGACACGGCCCAAACUCCUACGGGAGGCAGCAGUGGGGAAUUUUGCACAAUGGAGGAAACUCUGAUGCAGCGACGCCGCGUGAACGAAGAAGGUUUUCGGAUCGUAAAGUUCUGUCCUGGGUGAAGAUAAUGACGGUAACUCAGGAGGAAGCCCCGGCUAACUACGUGCCAGCAGCCGCGGUAAUACGUAGGGGGCGAGCGUUGUUCGGAAUUAUUGGGCGUAAAGGGUACGUAGGCGGCUCGUUAAGUUUGGCGUUAAAUUCCGGGGCUCAACCCCGGCAAGCGUUGAAAACUGGCGAGCUUGAGUAGUAGAGGGGACAGUGGAAUUCCUAGUGUAGCGGUGAAAUGCGUAGAGAUUAGGAAGAAUACCGGUGGCGAAGGCGACUGUCUGGAUACAUACUGACGCUGAGGUACGAAAGCGUGGGGAGCAA